CAGAAAGCCAGUGAGCAGCACGUUGGGAGUAAGCUCUCCUCCACACGAGCCUGAAGUCAUGUGUGUGGCCACCUGGACGGUGACCUGAGCCCUGGAGGGAUCCCACCGGAGACCCACUGCCUGCAGAGCGAAAGGCCCCCAGCAUCGAUGGCUGAGAUGGCGCCUGCAGUUCAAGCGCCUGAGGCGGUCAGCGAGGAUCCAGACAGCACCGAGGUGUUCUACACGGUGGAGAGGGACGAAAGCGGAGAAGUCGUCUGCCUCUGCUCUGACAUGGGGGAGGCCUACAACAAAAUUGGUGGGUCCCCCUUGCGGGUCAGCGACCUGAGGGCGCAUCCGGGCAGACACGGUGCCCU
rnacentral:lncRNA from 1 species